rnacentral:tRNA from 1 species
GCCUGGGUGGCUCAGUCGGUUAAGCGUCUGACUUCAACUCAGGUCACGAUCUCGCGGUCCAGGAGUUCGAGCCCCGUGUCAGGCU